GACGAACGCUGGCGGCGUGCUUAACACAUGCAAGUCGAACGGUGACCCAGGGCUUGCCCUGGUGAUCAGUGGCGAACGGGUGAGUAACACGUGGGCAACCUGCCCCUGACUUCGGGAUAACUCCUCGAAAGAGGAGCUAAUACCGGAUACGACCACUUCGGACAUCCGAUGGUGGUGGAAAGUUUUUUCGGUCAGGGAUGGGCCCGCGGCCUAUCAGCUAGUUGGUGGGGUAAUGGCCUACCAAGGCGACGACGGGUAGCCGGCCUGAGAGGGCGACCGGCCACACUGGGACUGAGACACGGCCCAGACUCCUACGGGAGGCAGCAGUGGGGAAUAUUGCGCAAUGGGCGAAAGCCUGACGCAGCGACGCCGCGUGAGGGAUGAAGGCCUCGGGUUGUAAACCUCUUUCAGCAGGGACGAAGCGAAAGUGACGGUACCUGCAGAAGAAGACACCGGCUAACU
rnacentral:rRNA from 1 species